AGAAAAACAUAAAUGGUUUCUUCCCCAAAAGCAACUAACUUUUUGUACAAAAAUAAUUUUUUGGUGAUUAAACAACUACGAAGAUUAGCAGAUUAUCUCAUUUGCUUCCACGGAAAAAAAUAGUAACGCUAGUUUGCUAAUUCUUCCACAUUAGCAGACUUAAUGGAAAACGGCGACGACUGGUUGGCCGCCGACAAACUGUAUCACGUUCUUUUCUGCUUCUUCAUUUCCGUCGUUUGCUCUCUACUCGCGGCAAGGACUCGCUACCCAUUCCUCCGCCGCCGCAGUAUUUGGAUCGGAUCACUCCUAUCAUUUGCGGCCGGCGCCGCUAAGGAGUUUGCCGACGAAUUGGGCUAUUUCGAAUCAGCUGGUGCAUCUGCCAAGGAUGCGGUUGCUGAUUUGAUCGGGAUUCUACUCGCUGCAGUGAUUCUCUACCUGUUCAAUUAUAGGGCAUCAGGGGCUAUCUGGCUGGAUCAACACCGGGAGCUUGACAUGGUUUGAAUAAUUGAAUUGGUGAUGACAGCGUUGUUUGAGAUUUUGCUGCUCAAGGAUUUAGGUGAUUGUUGUUGUUCGUUGGCAUAUUUGGAUUCAUGGAUUACUUCGUUAUUUUUCAUGGAGUCGAAAGUUUGAUGUUUGUUGCUCGCAAUCAUUUCUUUCUUAGGAUUAUUUGCAUACAACAUGCCAUUGAGAUCGUUGCAGCAAGCACCACCAAUUCGAUAAUUUUGUUAUAAUACUAAUAAUAUGGAGUCACUGCGGAGAGAGCAAUAUGAACUUGGGCAAAAGUGUCACAAUAUGAAUGAAUUUAGGCAAAAGCGUUUGUGGAAUGGUUUAAGAGAUGUGUCAGCAGAUUAGUUUCCCUGAGCACACAAGUGGAUCUAUUAACUCGGACGGGAAGGGACUUAAAUAGAAAAGGGGGAAAACACAGGUAUGAAGAAGGGACUUGAAUUGAAAAUACUUGUGGUUCCUCCCUUUUCUAUUCAAUUGGUGGAGGGCCGAGGGCUCCCUGAGCAGGAAGCAGAUGCCAAGCAUUGCCAUCACUCUCGUCAAAAAUUCAAAGCAGAAUCUGAAGAGUGGGAAGCUCCAACUCCUACCAAGAGAUUGAGAUCACACACCAGAAAGGACAAUUGUAGAGGCAGUGCAGUUUUGACACCUACGAGGAAUCCCAGAAGGAUGCUCGGGAUAAGGGUGGUGAAUUGGAGAGAAAUGAAUGAGACGAUGAAUUAUUGGUGCAAUCACAAAAGAGCGCGCUAAGGUGGUAAUGAUGAAGAGUAGUAGCGUAGGCAGUCCAAGUGAUGCAGAGGAUAGACUGAAGUCCCUCAUUCAAAAUCUUGGUUUUCUUCUCCAGGAAGAUAAUCCUAUUUCGCCGAUUCACAUUUCCUCUGCACAGAGAGCAAACUCUCGCUAUGAAAGGAAAAGCUACUCGAGUUUCCAUCAAGAGGCUCAACCCCGCCAGACAAGAUGAAGAUGCUGCUAAGAUGGAGAAGGAGCUUCUUGAUAGGGUUACACGGUUUGAAAGCCAUAUCCAUACGUUGAAAUCUGAAUGUCGACGCCUCUGCAUUAGCCUUGGUGAUGUUACUGAGCUUGAUCAAACGAGUGUUGCAUAUAUGAAGCCGAGCUUUAGCAAAGUUAUGGUGAAUCUGUCUGGCAUAAUCCGUGAUUUUGAAGGAUUGACUCAAGACUUCAUCAGUCUGAAGGAAGCCAGCACUCGUUCAACUCAUCUUGUUAAUGCCUAUGUCAAAUUCGAUAUCAACCGAUGUCAAAACUUUAAAGCUAAAGUGAUCCAGAGAUUCCAAGAUAUGACACAGGAAGUAAUCAACAUCAAAGCCUCGUUGGAGAAGAAGAUUCCUGUAACGAAUGAGGACAAUUAGAUAUGUCAUUUUAUAAUGAUGAUUAUGAUCUUAUAUAGCCAACAAUUUUUCUCUUAUAUGCUUGAAUGCCUGUCAUCUUGUUGUGGCUAUACAUUUCGUAGUUUUUUGUACCUAAGAAUUUGUAGAUUUUGCUCUAUUAGUUCUACAUAUAUAUAUGUUAUGUUUGAUUUUGUUGUUUUUA